rnacentral:rRNA from 1 species
AGUAACACGUGGAUAACCUACCUAUAAGACUGGGAUAACUUAGGGAAACCGGAGCUAAUACCGGAUAAUAUUUUGAACCGCAUGGUUCAAAAGUGAAAGACGGUCUUGCUGUCACUUAUAGAUGGAUCCGCGCUGCAUUAGCUAGUUGGUAAGGUAACGGCUUACCAAGGCAACGAUGCAUAGCCGACCUGAGAGGGUGAUCGGCCACACUGGAACUGAGACACGGUCCAG